rfam:Peptoclostridium acidaminophilum DSM 3953 plasmid EAL2_808p, complete sequence.
AGAUAAAUCUGAAAUACGGAGUAAAGCUUGCCGUGAGAAGUCAGCAGAGGCCAUAGUACCGAUUUUUUUUUUCGGAAAGGGC